GAUGAACGCUGGCGGCGUGCCUAAUACAUGCAAGUCGAGCGAACAGACGAGGAGCUUGCUCCUCUGACGUUAGCGGCGGACGGGUGAGUAACACGUGGAUAACCUACCUAUAAGACUGGGAUAACUUCGGGAAACCGGAGCUAAUACCGGAUAAUAUAUUGAACCGCAUGGUUCAAUAGUGAAAGACGGUUUUGCUGUCACUUAUAGAUCGAUCCGCGCCGCAUUAGCUAGUUGGUAAGGUAACGGCUUACCAAGGCGACGAUGCGUAGCCGACCUGAGAGGGUGAUCGGCCACACUGGAACUGAGACACGGUCCAGACUCCUACGGGAGGCAGCAGUAGGGAAUCUUCCGCAAUGGGCGAAAGCCUGACGGAGCAACGCCGCGUGAGUGAUGAAGGUCUUCGGAUCGUAAAACUCUGUUAUUAGGGAAGAACAAAUGUGUAAGUAACUAUGCACGUCUUGACGGUACCUAAUCAGAAAGCCACGGCUAACUACGUG
rnacentral:rRNA from 1 species